UACAGAGGUCUCAAGCGUUGUUCGGAUUCAUUGGGCGUAAAGGGUGCGUAGGCGGCGCGGUAAGUCGGGUGUGAAAUCUCGGAGCUUAACUCCGAAACUGCAUUCGAUACUGCCGUGCUUGAGGACUGGAGAGGAGACUGGAAUUUACGGUGUGGCGGUGAAAUGCGUAGAUAUCGUAAGGAAGACCAGUGGCGAAGGCGGGGUCUCUGGACAGUUCCUGACGCUGAGGCACGAAGGCCAGGGGAGCAAACGGGG
rnacentral:rRNA from 1 species